rnacentral:misc_RNA from 1 species
AUUUCAGAUCUGAAGUGUCGCAAGAUGACUAGAUCUGGAACAGUUACUCAAGAAUCUAGGGUUUCAGAGUUGGAGGAACAAGUUAGGGUUUUACAUGAGGAUUUUAAGAAAAAUAAGGAGGAAUUGCGUGGGGAAAUCAAGCAAUCUGCAAUUGAUACCAGGAAAAUUAUCCUGGAGGAGUUCUGAUCCUUGUUUGGUACAAAUUUGGCUGAGAAGGCCAAAGGAAACCAGCAUGGAGGCAAUGAGGAGGCUGGUACUUCUAUGGCUACUCUUGGAGGAAGGGGAAUACUUCCUAUGCCAAGGGAGAACAUUACUACAGGUCAGAGAGGGGCUAAUAGUGCUGGAUCUAUAACUG